GAACUGAAGAGUUUGAUCAUGGCUCAGAUUGAACGCUGGCGGCAGGCCUAACACAUGCAAGUCGAGCGGAUGAAGGGAGCUUGCUCCUUGAUUCAGCGGCGGACGGGUGAGUAAUGCCUAG
rnacentral:rRNA from 1 species